AUACGAAGGGGGCUAGCGUUACUCGGAAUGACUGGGCGUAAAGGGCGCGUAGGCUGUUUGGUAAGUUGGGCGUGAAAUUCCUGGGCUUAACCUGGGGGCUGCGUCCAAGACUGCCUGACUUGAGGAUGGAAGAGGCUCGUGGAAUUCCCAGUGUAGAGGUGAAAUUCGUAGAUAUUGGGAAGAACACCGGUGGCGAAGGCGGCGAGCUGGUCCAUUACUGACGCUGAGGCGCGAUAGCGUGGGGAGCAAACAGGAUUAGAUACCCUGGUAGUCCACGCCGUAAACGAUGUGUGCUGGAUGUUGGGGUUCCUAGAACUUCAGUGUCGUAGCUAACGCGAUAAGCACACCGCCUGGGGAGUACGGCCGCAAGGUUGAA
rnacentral:rRNA from 1 species